rnacentral:rRNA from 1 species
CCCCACUAUGCCCAGCCGUAAACUUUUACUUACACCAAAAUCGCCUGGGAAUUACGAGCAAAGCUUAAAACCCAAAGGACUUGACGGUACCCCACAUCCACCUAGAGGAGCCUGUCCUAUAAUCGAUAAUCCACGCUUAACCUCACCCCUUCUAGCCCAUCAGCCUGUAUACCUCCGUCCUCAGCUUACCUCGUGAGUGUAACCUAGUAAGCCUAAUGCCCGUACGCCAACACGUCAGGUCAAGGUGCAGCAAAUGAAGCGGGAAGAGAUGGGCUACACUCUCUAACUUAGAAAACACGAAAGACUACAUAUGAAACCUAGUCGGAAGGCGGAUUUAGAAGUAAAAAGAAAAUAGCAUGUUCUUUUUAACCCGGCACUGGGGUGUGUACACACCGCCCG